CCGAAAGGAGCAAAAUGAGAAAAGCGGUCCCAUUUUCACUGGCCUUUUUAAAUUUCCAGACUCUUUCUUCUCUCUCUUCCUUUCUCUGUGAAGAACUGGGGAAAAACGAAAACCCGGAAAAGGUCAAAAUCAUCCGAGAAAUAUUCGAAAUCCGUAGUACGCCAGUGAAUUGAUGAAAUAGAAGGAUUGAGCUGAAAUUCGAGGGAUUUGAGGAAGCUGUAGAGAAUAUGGCUUGUAGAGGGUGCUUGGAGUGCAUACUGAAGCUCCUUAACUUCUUGCUAACCCUUGUGGGUCUCGCCAUGGUUGGUUAUGGGAUUUACUUAUUUGUUGAGUAUAAAAGAGCAGGUGAUGAUACCUCACUGGCGCCUGUGAGUGGUGAUCCAGGUUUGAUACAGCUUGGUCGUCCAAUGCUUAUGGCUGUGUCAUUGUCGGAAAGUAUAUUUGACAAGCUGCCAAAAGCUUGGUUCAUAUAUUUAUUUGUUGGUGUAGGAGUGAUUCUCUUUGUCAUCUCAUGUUUUGGUUGUAUUGGAUCUGUAACGCGGAAUGGAUGCUGCCUCAGUUGUUAUUCGGUAUUGGUUAUCUUGUUGAUAUUGGUAGAAUUGGGAUGUGCAGCCUUUAUUUUCUUUGACAAAAAAUGGAAAGAAGAACUUCCAACCGACAAAACUGGAGUUUUUGACAUGAUAUACGAUUUCUUGAAAGAAAACUGGAACAUUGUGAGAUGGGUUGCUCUUGGAGUAGUUGUUUUGGAGGCUCUACUUUUCGUGUUAGCCCUUAUGGUUAGGGCCGCAAACAGGCCAGCAGAUUAUGAUAGUGAUGAUGAGCUUAUUGCCCCAAGACAACAGAUCCGGCAACCUUUGCUUAACAGGCCACCAGUUCCUGCAACAGGUGUACCUGUGUCUGGUACCCUUGAUCAGCGACCUAGCAGAAAUGAUGCUUGGAGCACACGUAUGAGGGAAAAGGUAUUAUAAGUUCUGAACUUUUUUCCUCUUAGAGCAUGUAUGGUGCUCCAUCUUGUGAUCUGCAUAUAUGUAUGGGUGAUUCUGUCCAAAUAUGCAAUUUUCAUGUGAUGACUGUUUCACAAUGUUGUAUGUGACAAGUUAAUUUUCAUGAGCUUUGUAACUUUUUUUAAUAUUAUAAUUAAAAACAAAUUCAUGAAUGAUUUCUUUGAAAUUGUUUUUUUCCCCUAGCAGGUAAUAAUUGCUUUUGUUGUGAAUUGUGAUCUUUUAUUGGUUAGCGUUUGUUUUGUCUUUACCAUUAUAUUUAGAAUUCUUUUGGCAUUAUGGUGAAAAUUUGUCUUCAGUUCAUUUUCUUUCUUUUUUCUAUAUGCAAAAUUCUGUUUAGUUUGUGGUUUAAGUUGCUUAUCCAUAUUGCUCAAGUUGCCUGUCAAUUCUUGAAUGUCCAAAUGAGAUGAUUCUAUCAAACUAAUAUGUUGUGAGUUGUCACAUAGAGCUUACUUUCUUGUCUCUUUUUUUAUUUUUUUAUGGGAUACUUGAUUGCUCAAUUUUGGUGUCAUUUGGUAUAUAUGGUAUAUAUCUCAUUAUCUCUUAGGUUCUGUGCCAAUUACAUACAGACUGUUUAAUGAUUGUGUUCAUGUUACAUGUACACAUUAUUCGAUCUAUAGUUGAGGACAAUUUGAUGGGUAUAUCUUUCUUUAGCAUCUAGUUCCUAAUUCUGUCAGUGUACUUUGUCAUUUCUUGCAUGAAAUCCAGUAUGGGCUUGAUACUUCAGAGUUCUCGUACAACCCAUCGGAGUCACACAGGUUCCAGCAAGUGUCCACGCAGC